AUACAAACCAAUCCAGACACACAGGGACUAACAAGGAUAUGAACACCAGCAGAUGAAGAUCAUCAGUACCAUCUUGGAGGCUGGCUACCACAACAGUUAAAGAACUCCCUUUAGCAUUUCUCGUAGGACAGGUCUGGUGUUAAUGAAAUCCCUCAGCUUUUGUUUGUCUGGAAAAGUGUGUCUCCUUCAUGUUUAAAGGAUAUUUUAGCUGGAUAUACUACUCUAAGCAACCCAGUGAUUCCAUGGAAAGCAGAAAGAAGGACAUAAAGAAACGGAUACUUGGUGACAUCUUUGACUCACUGGAUCAAACCUUGCCUGAAGCUCACAUUUCUGAAAUUUCCAGAUACAAGAACAAAUACUUCCUCUUUAUUGUUUUACUAGAUUUGAGACAAGCUUUAAGUUUCUCAGACUCUUCCUCUUCCUAACAGAUUUAUCAGAAGCUGAAAGCUCUGAUCUUGUUGGGAUGCGGAUCGUGUCAGGAGAAGGCUUACUUUGCACGCUUUUCUUAGUCUGGUUGCCUAACUCAAGAACCUCGGCAUGGCUCUGUUACUUCUCUACUCAGACAAGCAUCCCUGCAGACACUCACUAGGCUAACUCUGUCUUUAUUUUUAGAAUUAGACCUUUACGAGAAGCACAGUUUUGUCUUCAGUUUCCUCUCCCCCCACCCGGAAUGGCCUGAGCCGAAGCCAGCUCCCUCCGAGAAGUCAUUACCGCCUGACUUGCGUUUGAUAUUUAGACACCUUGGUCACAACAUCUUGCAUUCUCUCGGGAUGCUGAUUUCUAACUGCUCUUUGGCCUUUCCUGCAUUGGUCCUCCUCAGGCAGGGGAUCCCUGCUCUUCUAUAUUAGUGAGAAAACCAAGGCUCAGAGAAACUGUGGAUUUUCUAAGGAUGCUGGCUCCCCGUCCCCUGUCCACCAUGAGUCAAAGCAAUGUGAGUCCCUCACCAGAUGCAACUGCCCAGUCUUGGACUUUCCAGUGACCAGAAUCAUGAGCCAAAUAAACCUCUUUUCUUUAUGAAU
rnacentral:lncRNA from 1 species